ACCAGGUAGCAUUCCUCUUCGCUGCCGGCACCGCAUGAGCAACAGGACGAAUACCGUCCUCCAGUCAACGCGGGGCACAACAGGCUUCCGUAAGGGACAUUUAUUCAGGCAAAGAGGGGAAGAGACCCCUACCGAUCAUGUUUCUGCAUACAAGACUUUAAGCGACACAGGGGCGUCCGACGCCUGCUAGACCAAAUGGCAAAGCAUGGGCGGAUGUCCGGGUGAGCUUCGGGGUCUAACUCGCACAAAACAUGAGGCACGAGAUAGAGAAGGGACCGUGGUACUAAAGAAUUCCGUCAAAAUAGGUAUGUUGCACAGGGGGCCAAGCCAACCCAAGGCGAAAGAUUUCGCGCUCGAACAGAAUUGAACAAGUAUGAACCAGCGAUUGUCGCUGCCGGGGCAGGGAACCAACCAACCGGAACAUACC
rnacentral:misc_RNA from 1 species